AUCCAGCAAUGCCGCGUGUGUGAAGAAGGCCUUCGGGUUGUAAAGCACUUUUGUCCGGAAAGAAAUCCUCUGCCCUAAUACGGCGGGGGGAUGACGGUACCGGAAGAAUAAGCACCGGCUAACUACGUGCCAGCAGCCGCGGUAAUACGUAGGGUGCAAGCGUUAAUCGGAAUUACUGGGCGUAAAGCGUGCGCAGGCGGUUCGCUAAGACAGAUGUGAAAUCCCCGGGCUUAACCUGGGAACUGCAUUUGUGACUGGCGGGCUAGAGUAUGGCAGAGGGGGGUAGAAUUCCACGUGUAGCAGUGAAAUGCGUAGAGAUGUGGAGGAAUACCGAUGGCGAAGGCAGCCCCCUGGGCCAAUACUGACGCUCAUGCACGAAAGCGUGGGGAGCAAACAGGAUUAGAUACCCUG
rnacentral:rRNA from 1 species